UACGUAGGUGACUAGCGUUGUCCGGAUUUACUGGGUGUAAAGAGCGCGCAGGCGGUCGUUCAAGUCGAGUGUGAAAGCCCCCGGCUCAACUGGGGAGGGUCAUUCGAUACUGAUCGACUCGAAGGCAGGAGAGGGAAGCGGAAUUCCCGGUGUAGUGGUGAAAUGCGUAGAUAUCGGGAGGAACACCAGUGGCGAAGGCGGCUUCCUGGCCUGUUCUUGACGCUGAGGCGCGAAAGCUAGGGGAGCAAACGGG
rnacentral:rRNA from 1 species